rnacentral:rRNA from 1 species
AUUGAACGCUGGCGGCAUGCUUUACACAUGCAAGUCGAACGGCAGCACGGACUUCGGUCUGGUGGCGAGUGGCGAACGGGUGAGUAAUACAUCGGAACGUGCCCAGUUGUGGGGGAUAACUUCUCGAAAGAGUAGCUAAUACCGCAUGAGAACUGAGGUUGAAAGCAGGGGAUCGUAAGACCUUGCGCAACUGGAGCGGCCGAUGGCAGAUUAGGUAGGUGGUGGGAUAUAUGCUUACCAAGCUGACGCUCUGUAGCUGGUCUGAGAGGACGACCAGCCACACUGGGACUGAGACACGGCCCAGACUCCUACGGGAGGCAGCAGUGGGGAAUUUUGGACAAUGGGCGAAAGCCUGAUCCAGCAAUGCCGCGUGCAGGAUGAAGGCCUUCGGGUUGUAAACUGCUUUUGUACGGAACGAAAAGCUUCGGGCUAAUACCCUGGAGUCAUGACGGUACCGUAAGAAUAAGCACCGGCUAACUACGUGCCAGCCGCCGCCGUAACAC